rnacentral:rRNA from 1 species
GAUGAACGCUGACAGAAUGCUUAACACAUGCAAGUCAACUUGAACUUCGGUUUGGGUGGCGGCCGGGUGAGUAACGCGUAAAGAACUUGCCUCACAGCUAGGGACAACAUUUGGAAACGAAUGCUAAUACCUGAUAUUAUGAUUUUAGGGCAUCCUAGAAUUAUGAAAGCUAUAUGCGCUGUGAGAGAGCUUUGCGUCCCAUUAGCUAGUUGGAGAGGUAACGGCUCACCAAGGCGAUGAUGGGUAGCCGGCCUGAGAGGGUGAACGGCCACAAGGGGACUGAGACACGGCCCUUACUCCUACGGGAGGCAGCAGUGGGGAAUAUUGGACAAUGGACCAAGAGUCUGAUCCAGCAAUUCUGUGUGCACGAUGAAGUUUUUCGGAAUGUAAAGUGCUUUCAGUUGGGAAGAAAAAAAUGACGGUACCAACAGAAGAAGUGACGGCUAAAUACGUG